CGGGCAUGAGAGCAGCGUGAGGUGGAAGCCUGUUCCUGGAUGAAAGCUGCAGUGGAAGUUCCCUCUCAUGGAGCGAAGGAACUCAAGGAGGGAAAGAGGAGAGGGGAAGAGGAAAGACGGCGCAGAGGGAAGGACUGAGUGGUACUUAUUGGAUGAAGACUUCAAAGCAGCACAGCAGCCAGACGGACUGAGGCUCCGGGGAAAUUAUUUACCUGACAAGCACACAGCUUUCCAAACAUUACACAACAUUACUGACCAAACAUUUAGAAAACAGAACCCUCUCUCCACAGAUUUAGUUAGGUGAAUCACAUCCGGUGAGUAAGCAGAUUAUUCAACAGAGGGACGAGAUGUCUCUGCUGUCUCUCUCGUCCCCCGUCACUCCAACUUUUCAAAAUCACAGAUGAUCAACACACUGGAACUGCUCACUGUGACGCUACAAUGAAGUUUACUUUUCUGCAGCUGUGUAACAUCUGUGGCUCAAAGAAGCUCAAAGUGGAAAAAAUAAACCUAAUGCUGCUGUCAGAUCAUCCCUCUACUGAGUUGCAUUAUGGGAACUCUAGGCUUUUGGAGCUUGACCCAACAAGAAACUAAAGGUCAGUGGACCUCUUCCUCUGCUGCUUUGAUCGUUCUUUUAAUCCAU